rnacentral:rRNA from 1 species
UGGCUGCAGUCGAGGAUCUUCGGCAAUGGGCGCAAGCCUGACCGAGCGACGCCGCGUGCGGGAUGAAGGCCUUCGGGUUGUAAACCGCUGUCGUAGAGGAGGAAAUGCAGGGGGGUUCUCCCUUCUGUUUGACCUAUUCUAGGAGGAAGUACGGGCUAAGUUCGUGCCAGCAGCCGCGGUAAGACGAACCGUACAAACGUUACUCGGAAUUACUGGGCUUAAAGGGUGCGUAGGCUGCGCGGAAAGUUGGGUGUGAAAGCCCUCAGCUCAACUGGGGAAUUGCAUUCAAAACUACCGUGCUCGAGGGAGACAGAGGUAAGCGGAACUCAAGGUGGAGCGGUGAAAUGCGUUGAUAUCUUGAGGAACACCGGUGGCGAAGGCGGCUUACUGGGUCUCUUCUGACGCUGAGGCACGAAAGCUAAGGUAGCAAACGGGAUUAGAUACCCCGGUAGUCUUAGCUGUAAACGAUGAGCACUUGUUUGAAGGGUCCUCCAUAGCCUUUCAGACGUAGCGAAAGUGUUAAGUGCUCCGCCUGGGGAGUAUGGUCGCAAGGCUGAAACUCAAAGAAAUUGACGGGGGCUCACACAA